GUCGUUAUAUCUAAAGUGAGUCUCAUGCUCACCUCGGCAGCACAUACACUAAAGUGAGUCUCUUGUAGACUGCAUGUAGAUGAGUCGUUUUUUAAUCCAGUUACUGACAAGGAAAGAUUCACUUUACAAUUUAGCUAUUUGUUUUCUGUAUGUCUUACAUGUUUUUUAUUCCUCAAUUCUUCCAUUAUUGCCCCCAUCCUACUUUUUAUUAUUUAGGGGUUUUGGGUUUGUUUGGCAGUAAACCAUUUUGAUUCUCUUCUUUUUGUGUAUGUUUUUAGUUAUUUCCUUAGUAGUUACUUUGGGGUUUGCAAUUAACAUUUUAAACUUUUAACAACUUACCUUGAAUAGUACCAACUUAGGUUUAGUACAGUCACAGCAAAGUUAUCUCCUGUCCCUUCACCUUCAUGUUGUCAUUGUCACUGAUUAUAUCUUUAUAUAUUGUGUAAUGUGUAUUAACAUAAAUUUAUAAUUGUUUUAUGCAUUCAUUAGCCUUUUAAAUCAUAUAGAAACAAAAGAAUUAAAAACCAAAAGUACAACAAUGAUGGCUUUUUUUUUUGAGACAGAGUCUCACUCUGUUGCCCAGGCUGGAGUGCAGUGGCGCAAUCUCCGCUCACUGCAACCUCAACCUCCUGGGUUCGAGCGAUUCUACUGCCUCAGCAGAUUGUCCUACUGCCUAUGGCCUCCAUAUGGUUUCUGCUUAUGGUUUCUGAUGAAAAAUUAGCUGUUAAUUUUAGUGAGGAUCUCUUUUACGUGACUAGGAGCUUCUCUCUUGCAGCUUUCAAGAUUCUCUUUGGCUUUGGCUCUUUCUACAGUUUGACUAUAAUGUGUCUUUAUCCUGCCUAGAGUUUGUUGAGCUUCUUGAAUGUGUAGAUUCAAAUCUUUUAUCAGUUUUUAGAAGUGUUUGACCAUUAUAUAUUUCUUCAAAUUGUUUUUCAGCCCUUUUCUGUGCCUCUACUUCUGGAACUCCCAUGAUAUGUAUGAUGGUGUCCCA
rnacentral:lncRNA from 10 species